UUUUGAUAGUAAACAAAACAGGUUUCAAGAAAUUUGCAUGAGAUCUCAACCUGUUCAUUUUAAUGACCCUAUAAGCCAAUUCUAUGAUCAAAACUAGGAUUUCACUUUAGGUAAAGCAAAUUAGUAGACUCAUUAAGGUAAAGUUGCUGUGUUACAGAAUUCAAAGUAUAACUACAGGAUGAGGAAUUAGCAUAGUUAAACAUGAUAUAAUUGGAAAUUUAUAGUGUUUUUAAAUACAUUGCAUGAUCAGAGGAAAAUGUUCUUUUCCUCCAUAGAGCCUCAUUCUGCUCUGGUCUAGACUUUCGUAGAUGUCAGGCUGGGCUCAAAACUCCAAAAAUAAAUCCAGUCUUCCAGAUUCUGGGAUUAGACAUGAACCACCACAACCAGCUUGCUAAAAUAGUAUUUAUAAGUUAAAUGAGCUAGAUAAAAGCAAGUGUGGGUUUAUUUUGAAUGCUUUGGAAACCAGACCAAGAAUGGCCUCUUUUAAGUAGUUCAGCUAUAGAUUGAAAUGUAAAAACAAUUUUUGCCUUACGCAGGCUUGUGUUUGAACACUAGAGAGCACAGUGUUUGUAAAGGGUAUAGUAGGUUUUAAGACUUAGGAAGUAGGGCUAUACCCAUACUGACAAUUUUUUUUGGAACUACAAAUACUACUUUGAUUUCCACCCCUCCCCUUCUCUGUUCCCUUAGGAUAUUGUAGGGAACCUAUGAUUAGUUUUUCUAACCAAGAAAGCACUUAAAUCUCUUUAAGCAAGUACUUUCAUAACAUCUGAUUGAGUAACCCCAACUUGCUGUUCAGCUCAUCCUACUGGAGACAAAGUUUGAAAGAGCAGCUAAAGAGAAGUGUCUAUACAUGGGAGGAGAGCGCAAACAUACAUAGAGACCUUGAAGGUGAAUCUUCUAAGGCAGGGAAGAAGCAGAGACUUCUAUCCAUUGAAUCAAAAUGCAAGAACAUACCAUGUCCAAGGCUGACCAGUUCUCUGGUGGUUACUGCUACUGAUCCAUCCAAACUGCUGGACUUCUUCAUACCCAAGGUCUUCAGGCAGUAUCUAAUGGGAAGUCAACUUAAAGGAACCAGACCAUCAUUUCCCAGCCCGCCCUUUUAUUCUGUAGCUACCUCUAUGUGAGGAAAGGAUAGAAAACAUUCAAGACAUCAUACGGGCUUACGAUCUACAGAUUCCAACCAGUAGCAGUGGCUGACUCCUACACAGAAGACUGGGAACUACAAACAGGCUGGACAUGACAUCUGACGCUGUCCAACCAGAAGUCUGACUUGUGUGUUGCAGGAAUUGAAGAAUGUACUAAAAGACUAAAAUAUUUCGUCUCU